GUAAGGAAUAUUGGACAAUGGACGCAAGUCUGAUCCAGCCAUGCCGCGUGAAGGAUUAAGGUCCUCUGGAUUGUAAACUUCUUUUAUAAGGGACGAAAAAAGGCUUUUCUAAGUCGUCUGACGGUACCUUAUGAAUAAGCACCGGCUAACUCCGUGCCAGCAGCCGCGGUAAUACGGAGGGUGCAAGCGUUAUCCGGAUUCACUGGGUUUAAAGGGUGCGUAGGCGGGCAGGUAAGUCAGUGGUGAAAUCCUAGAGCUUAACUCUAGAACUGCCAUUGAUACUAUCUGUCUUGAAUAUUGUGGAGGUAAGUGGAAUAUGUCAUGUAGCGGUGAAAUGCUUAGAUAUGACAUAGAACACCUAUUGCGAAGGCAGCUUACUACGCAUAUAUUGACGCUGAGGCACGAAAGCGUGGGGAUCAAACAGGAUUAGAUACCCCUGUAGUCC
rnacentral:rRNA from 1 species